GGGAGGCACAUGGCAGCCACGGUUCGAAGCCAGGACGGUUCGAAGCCAGCCGUUUGCCAGCUUUUGUAUGACCUAGCUUUCCCACGGGACCGCUGUGGGCCUCCCAGUCCCUCCUGCCGCCCCGCGGGCCCUGGCGCUGCCGUCUCCCCAAAGCCACAGAGGCCCUUCCAGCAGCAGAAAACCCUCUACAGUUCGUCCCACCCUGGACAAGGUGGGCAGCCCAGGCCAGAGUGACAUAGUUCCCACGUUUUUCCCAGAAGUUCGACAGUUUUUAAGCAUCCGUGCCUCUCAAAUUUGUGUUAAGCCUUUGCUCAAUUUCUACAGUAUGGAAAUGGAUGAUUUUGUUCAUUUUUUUUCAGCUUUGUGCUUGCCUAUUUGGAAGACAAUUUCCUGAUCUCAUUUAGCAAUAGCUAAAAGUGCUAUCUCUUUUUUUCACAAAUCUUUUUUAAGUAAACUGCAUACAAUACUGAAAAUAAAAAUAAAAUACGAAUCCAUCAUGACAAUACCUCCUUGGUGAUUUAUUA
rnacentral:lncRNA from 10 species